rnacentral:lncRNA from 1 species
CUCCAGGGUCACAACCCCACGGCCCUGCGCGUGCACGUGCUGUGCAGUGUGCACAGGCAUCAGACAGUGCCCUUUCGAGCCCCGGCCCGUGCCCAGGGCCUGCCUGCCAGCUGGUGCUGCCAAAGAGAAAUGCUCAGUCCAGGCUGAGGGAUGUGUCCCGGGCUUUGCUCCCCAUCUGUGAGUUGGGGAGGGGGCUGGACCCUGACGCUGAUGUCCCCCAGGCUCUGAGUGCUCUGAAAAGCGGAGGCCACCUCUGCUGCUGAGAGCCAGGUGGGGAAGGCUCCAGGCCCCGGGCUGGCUGCGGGGUGGAGGAGGCCUGCCAGGCGGGAACGCGCAGAGGACAAAGGCCUCCAGGAGACCCAGGCGCCCAAGGUCCCACAAGGAGGAGCAGCAGAGCCGCUCAGAGCCCAGCAGCCUGGGUGGGUGUGCACUCAACCCCCAGCCCCUGCCCUCUGGACUCUGCCAGCACCAGCUACCAUGUCACUUCGGGGCCGUCACAUACAGCCCCAUUCACACCCCAGCUGUGCCACUGACUGGCUGUGUGACCUUGGGCAAGUCGCUUCACCACUCUGAGCCUCAGUAUCCUCACCUGGAAAAUGGGCUGACACCCUGGGCUGGCUCUGGUCCAGGGGUGGGGCCAGAGCCAGAGCUUGGAGCAGAGGAGGGCAGAUCUGCAGCCCCAGAUGUGACCACAGCAGGGUCUCGGGAGGCCCUACUGUGUGCCGGGGCAGUGUCGGACACCAUGUUGCUGCUACUUCCUUCCAUCCUCACAACCAGCCUGAGAGUCAGGCCAGAGGGCUUUCAUCGGCCCCGUUCUACAGAGGGCAAGACUGAGGCUCAGAGACGCAAUGGGAUUUUCCCAGAGAAGUAACAAACGGGAACAGGCCAACCUAUGAGUCAGACGUAAGCAGGGCUAGAAGUGGGUCCCUGCAUCCUGUGCUGAGGCCCAGGGCUCCCCCAGUCUUGUAUCUGGCCUGGCCUGGGUGCUGGACUCUGGGGCCCCCAAAGGGAGGGAGCCCAAAUGCUUCACAGACACCUGGAAAGGGGCUCCUCCUCCCUGAGGGCGGCACAGCCGGGCCCUUCAGUCCAUUUCACAGAUAGGCAGCCUGAGGCCGGCCAGAGCUGGGGCAGUCCGAAGUGAGCUUGCCUCUGAAGACACAGCAGGAUGGACUCACCCUGCCCAGGAAU